rnacentral:rRNA from 1 species
UGCCCAAGAGAUCGGGAUAACACCUGGAAACAGAUGCUAAUACCGGAUAACAACAGAUGAUGCCUAUCAACUGUUUAAAAGAUGGUUCUGCUAUCACUCUUGGAUGGACCUGCGGUGCAUUAGCUAGUUGGUAGGGUAACGGCCUACCAAGGCGAUGAUGCAUAGCCGAGUUGAGAGACUGAUCGGCCACAUUGGGACUGAGACACGGCCCAAACUCCUACGGGAGGCAGCAGGG